GCAGGAAUUAAGAGACCGUCAACUCAUUACAUUCCUCACUCCAUUUCCUGGCUGCUAUGAGCUGAACAGCUCUCCUUCACUGUGCCUUUCCGCCACAUUGUUCUGCUUCACCUCAGGCCCAGUGCUAUGGAAUCAGCCAAUCAUGGACUGAUCCUUCUGAAACAAGGCAGUGUUUCUUAAAGUGGGUGAGAUUGGAGGGGAGCACUUAACCAUGGCUAAAUCCUUGGAGGAACUCAUGGAUGAACUCAGAAGGAAGCACAGGAACUCUUUCUCAAUAGGUAUCAGAAAAGUUACCUAGUCUUCUCUGGCUGUCAACCAAUGACACAGGAGUUCCAGGCAGCCACAGAGUCCACUGAUUUCUGAGUUCUUGAGCCAACUAUUGUUAGGAAAGACCACAUAAUAUGAAAUUGUUGUGUCACCUGUCAUCAGAGGCAAUGAACAUCCCUGCACUGAACAGCACUUCUGGAGGCUGGCAGAUUUGUUGUCUGGUAACAAUUUCUCUCCUUUUCUGCAAAGAAGAGCUCAACACUGAGGAAGUCCACAUUCCUUUCUAGGGUAAAAUAGAGUUGAAACUUUAGACAUGACUGGUGAAGAUGUUUCUUGGAAAUAUAAUUGGCAUUUUAUGUGAGCAA